rnacentral:lncRNA from 1 species
CUGACAACAACUACAGGAAAUUCAAAGCCAUCACUUCAUUUUUUUUUCUGGAAUUGUAAUUUUACAGUACAAAGAACUCUAGGAAUAGGAAAGGACAGCAGUUCCACUGGAAACUACUUUAAGCCUAGCCCAAGAAAUGUGUCUGACCUGCUUUCUGGAAGUCAUCCAACCCUGAUCACAAGCAGGAAUUUUUAUGAUCUCAAUGGACAGAACAAGCUGCUGAGCUCUAGCCUGGUAUGAUGUGAUAUUAUCAGUUACUUCCUUAUUUUUGUGGGUUGUUCGAACUCUAUCUAGGUUCCAGUCUCUGGAGAGGAAGUUAAAAAAAUUAGAAACAGUCAUUGUGCGUACAAGUGAAAAUAAACACAAAACUCUCCAGUG